CCUACGGGAGGCAGCAGUGAGGAAUAUUGGUCAAUGGGCGUAAGCCUGAACCAGCCAAGUCGCGUGAGGGAUGAAGGUUCUAUGGAUCGUAAACCUCUUUUAUAAGGGAAUAAAGUGCGGGACGUGUCCCGUUCUGUAUGUACCUUAUGAAUAAGGAUCGGCUAACCCCGUGCCCGCCGCCGCGGUAAUACGGGAGAAUCGAGCGUUUUCCGGAUUUAUUUGGUUUAAAGGGUUGGUUAGCGGCCUUUUAAGUCAGGGGGGAAAGUCUGUGGCCCAACCCUAGAAGUGCCGUUGAAACUGGGGGUCUUGAGUAUGUGUGAGGCAGGCGGAAUACGUGGUGUAGCGGUGAAAUGCUUAGAUAUCACGCAGAACCCCGAUUGCGAAGGCAGCCUGCC
rnacentral:rRNA from 1 species